rnacentral:rRNA from 1 species
AUGGCCGACCUCGCCGCCCGCCUCACCAAGCGACUCUGCGACGCCAACAGCGGUAAGAACCUGGUCUUCUCGCCGCUCUCCAUCUACGCCGUGCUCGCGCUCCUGGCCGCCGGCGCCGGCGGGGACACCCUGGAAGAGAUCCUCCGUGUCCUGGGCGCGCGAUCCCGCAGCGAGCUAGAGGCCUCCGUGGCGCGUCUCCGGGACGGGCCCCUCAGGGACAGAUCGGAGUCCGGCGAGCCGAGCGUGGCGUUCGCGUGCGGCGUGUGGAGCGACCUGACGUGUCCGCUGAAGCAGGCCUACGUCGACGCCGUCGUCAGCAGUUACAAGGCCGAUGCCGCCGCCGUCGAUUUCCUAAGAGCUCCGGAGCAAGCGACGGCGCAGAUCGACGCGUGGGCCGCGGCGGCCACGAGGAACCUCAUCCGGUCCGCCGUGCCCCCCGGAGCCGUAGACGAGGACACGAGGGUCGUGCUGGCCAACGCCAUCUACUUCAGGGGCAAGUGGCAAGUGCCGUUCUACGAGAGCUCGACCAAGAACAGGCCGUUCUACCGGCUGGACGGCACCGCCGUCGACGUCCCCUUCAUGUCGAACUACGGCCGUCACUUGAUCGCCGAGCACGACGGGUUCAAGGUGCUCAAGCUACGCUACAAGAGCAGCUCACCGCCCUACACCAGCAUGUGCAUCUUCCUCCCGGACGCGUGCGACGGCCUGGGGAGCCUGCUGGAGAGGAUGACGUCGUCGCCAGGCUUCCUGCGAGAGCACCUGCCGACGAGCAUGGCCGUCGUCGUUGAGUUCGGGGUGCCCAAGUUCGAGCUCACCUUCGAGGGCAGCGUCACCGACGUGCUCAAGGAUCUGGGGCUCGCUCUUCCUUUCGGCGAAGGCGCCGACCUCUCGGAGAUGAUGGAGGACAUGCACGUCCAGGUGCAGGACGGUCUUCCACAAGGCCGUCAUCGAG